CUUUCUCGGCAGCGCCGUAGAGCGCGAGCAGACGGUGCAGCAUGGCGCACAGCGGAGGCCGCGGGCGGCCGAACCCGGCGUGUCCUUGGGCGUUUCCAGAUUAAUAGUUUGAUCUGAAGUAUUGGCAUCACUCUAAAAAGCUUGUAUUCAUGGAUCAACCCUGUGCAACAAAACCUGCUCAUUUGAAGGUGCUUGAACAAAUAUUUUCUAAACACUUGUCAUGGAGAGUGAUUGAAACAAGCUGCCAGGACUACAUUUGCCAAUAACAAGCAUGUAGGUGGCUGUAGUGGAUGUCCAACUUUGGGAGCUGUGAUGUCUAAAAACCCUUUAUUGUUUUGGGUGCAGCUUACAUAUUGGAAGGUAAAAUGAAGGCCAUGAACAAAGUCAAGAAGCCAUAAACAGAAGCAAAUGGUGAAAAUUAAUAUCUAAUUUAAUAUUAAUAAGUUAUAUAUAAAUAAACAGUUAUUCUUAA
rnacentral:lncRNA from 1 species